UACGUAGGUGGCAAGCGUUGUCCGGAUUUAUUGGGUUUAAAGGGUGCGUAGGCGGUCUUUUUAAGUCAGUGCUGAAAUAUCCCGGCUUAACCGGGAGGGUGGCAUUGAUACUGAAGGACUUGAGUUCAGUCGAGGUAGGCGGAAUUGACGGUGUAGCGGUGAAAUGCUUAGAUAUCGUCAAGAACACCGAUAGUGUAGACAGCUUACUAGGCUGAAAACUGACGCUGAGGCACGAAAGUGUGGGGAUCAAACAGG
rnacentral:rRNA from 1 species